AGGAUUAACGCUGGCGGCGUGCCUAACACAUGCAAGUCGAACGAGGUAGCAAUACCUAGUGGCAGACGGGUGAGUAACGCGUGGUCAACCUACCGUUGAGUGGGGGAUAACUAGCCGAAAGGUUAGCUAAUACCGCAUACGUCUCCGAGGGGCAUCCCUUGGCGAUAAAAGGAGCAAUCCGCUCGAUGACGGGACCGCGUCCCAUUAGCUAGAUGGUGGGGUAACGGCCUACCAUGGCACCGAUGGGUAGCUGGUUUGAGAGAGCGACCAGCCACACUGGGACUGAGAAACGGCCCAGACUCCUACGGGAGGCAGCAGUGAGGAAUUUUCCGCAAUGGGCGCAAGCCUGACGGAGCGACGCCGCGUGUGGGAAGAAGGCCUUCGGGUCGUAAACCACUGUCGAAGGGGACGAUAAUGACGGUACCCCUGGAGGAAGCCCCGGCUAACUACGUGCCAGCAGCCGC
rnacentral:rRNA from 1 species